AUGGCUUGUUUGCCGUAUAACUUCCUUGACGAGUGGGACAAGGACAAUCGCGAAGGCAUCCUCUAUGGCGAUGGUACCAUCCUACUAUAUAACAUCCUCUAUGGCGUUGGCAUCUAUGGCAACACGGCCAUCUUCAAGGCAGCACUCCUACGCUCCGGUGAUACAAAGUGGAUGCUCGUCGAAAGAACCCUUGACAAACCCCGUGAGCAUGGUGAGUUCUGUGCCGCGUACCACGGCGGGAGGAUCCUGGUCAUAGUGAGGUCUAGCCUCUGUCGCGUCAUCACACCAGAGGUCAAUGUCGCCGGCGACGUUCUAGUCCCAAGGACGUGCGGUGACUAUAAGUUCUCCUACAACUACAUCUUGGAGUCCCGCGGCAAGCUACUAUGGGUGUCGGUUUAUUCCGAGAUCCUGGAACGCAUAGCUCUAUUUCGUCCGCUCUCAGUAUUUGUGCAUGCCCUAGAGGAGCAGGCGUCGACACCGGGAAAGAUGACGUGGGUGAGAAAAGACCAUAGUUGUCUGGCCGACCGUGUGCUGUUUUUACGGUCACCCAGUAGCUUGGCCGUAGACGCCUCGCAACUCGGUAUCAAAGGCGGGUGCGUCUUCCUCAAUUACUACACUGGGUUAGCCUUGCGGGAUAGGCAGUUUUGCAUGCACAAGUACAGUCUUAUGAACGAUAAGACCGAGUUCAUCGAGCGGAUGCCAAAAGGAUGGGACCAAGGCAAGUGCUCGUGGCUCGUCCCCAACCCGCUAUUGCUCCAAUUCAGCAACAACAAGAGCCAGCUCCGCUUACUGAUCCAACACGUAUUACUCACAUAUUCAGACAUCGUGAGCCUCGUUUCAGGUUGUUGGUGCGUAAUCUGCCUCUCACGGUGGAUAGCUCUCAACUAG
rnacentral:rRNA from 1 species